GAUGAAGAACGUAGCGAAAUGCGAUAAGUAAUGUGAAUUGCAGAAUUCAGUGAAUCAUCGAAUCUUUGAACGCACAUUGCGCCCCCUGGUAUUCCGGGGGGCAUGCCUGUUCGAGCGUCAUUUCACCACUCAAGCCUCGCUUGGUAUUUGGCAACGCGGUCCGCCGCGUGCCUCAAAUCGACCGGCUGGGUCUUCUGUCCCCUAAGCGUUGUGGAAACUAUUCGCUAAAGGGUGUUCGGGAGGCUACGCCGUAAAACAACCCCAUUUCUAAGGUUGACCUCGGAUCAGGUAGGGAUACCCGCUGAACUUAAGCAUAUCAAUAAGCGGAGGA
rnacentral:misc_RNA from 1 species